GUACCGCUGAAGAGUCCCAAACCAGUGGGACGAAACAUUUGUCCAGUAC
rfam:Trichobilharzia regenti genome assembly, scaffold: TRE_scaffold0037910